GGAUGUGAGGGCAAUCUGGCUGCGACAUCUGUCACCCCAUUGGUUGCCAGGGUUGUUUCGGCUGAUCUGGCUGGCUAGGCAGGUGUCCUUUCCUUCCUCGAUGCUCCACAUGCGUUCCCUCCUGGAGAUGACCUUCUCUGAUAAAGGAGGACUGGUCUUCAGUCAAGGGUAUAUGAGUAGCUGUGCUCCCCUACUGGAACCUCCAAACAAAUUCUCAAGUAGUGUUUUGUAAGGUGCAAAAGCCUCACAAACAUGCACAUUUGACUUUUGGUUAUCAGGUGACUGGCUCU
rnacentral:snRNA from 1 species